AGUGAACGCUGGCGGUAGGCCUAACACAUGCAAGUCGAACGGCAGCACAGUAAGAGCUUGCUCUUACGGGUGGCGAGUGGCGGACGGGUGAGGAAUACAUCCGAAUCUACUUUUUCGUGUGGGAUAACGUAGGGAAACUUACGCUAAUAUCGCAUACGACCUACGGUUGAAAGCAGUGGAUCUUCGCACCUUGCGCGAUUGAAUGAGCCGCUGUCGGAUUUGAUGGUUGGCGGGGUAAAGGCCCACCAAGGCGACGAUCCGUAGCUGGUCUGAGAGGAUGAUAAGCCACAUGAGAAGUUGGACAGCGUCAAGACUACUAAGAGAGGGCGCAGUGGGGAAUAUUGGGCAGUAGGCGCAAGCAUGAUCCAGUCAGACCGCGUGGGUGAAGGAGGCCUUCGGGUUGUAAAGACGUUUUGUUGGGAGAGAAAAGCAGCAGGUUAAUACCAAGCUGUUGUGACGGUACCCAAAGAAUAAGCACCGGCUAACUACGUG
rnacentral:rRNA from 1 species